rnacentral:rRNA from 1 species
UCAGGCCUAACACAUGCAAGUCGAGGGGUAGAACAUUUCGGUGUUUGAGACCGGCGCACGGGUGCGUAACGCGUAUGCAACCUACCUUUUACAGGGGAAUAGCCCAGAGAAAUUUGGAUUAAUGCCCCAUGGUAUAUUUAGAUGGCAUCAUCUGAUUAUUAAAGUUCCAACGGUAAAAGAUGGGCAUGCGUCCUAUUAGCUAGAUGGUAAGGUAACGGCUUACCAUGGCAACGAUAGGUAGGGGUCCUGAGAGGGAGAUCCCCCACACUGGUACUGAGACACGGACCAGACUCCUACGGGAGGCAGCAGUGAGGAAUAUUGGACAAUGGGCGCAAGCCUGAUCCAGCCAUGCCGCGUGCAGGAAGAAGCAUCUAUGGUGUAAAGGUGCUUUUGUACGGGAAGAAACACUCCUACGGUAGGAGCUGAC